rfam:Xiphophorus maculatus strain JP 163 A Contig223.44, whole genome shotgun sequence.
GGCUGGUUAGCUCAGCUGGUCAGAGUGUAGUGUUUAUAACGCCAAGGUCAUGGGUUCAAUUCCCACACCGACCA